CGGGUGAGUAACGCGUGGGUAACCUGCCUUAUACAGGGGGAUAACAGUCAGAAAUGGCUGCUAAUACCGCAUAAGCGCACAGAGCUGCAUGGCUCAGUGUGAAAAACUCCGGUGGUAUAAGAUGGACCCGCGUUGGAUUAGCUGGUUGGUGGGGUAACGGCCCACCAAGGCGACGAUCCAUAGCCGGCCUGAGAGGGUGACCGGCCACAUUGGGACUGAGACACGGCCCAA
rnacentral:rRNA from 1 species